ACCUAAAGGAAAACUCAAAACUUUAUGAAACUCAGUGAAAUCAUGUAACAGGUGACUCUUAACAAGCAUGCAAAGUUUCAUGGAGAUCAGACCAUAGGUGGCGCUAUAACAGUAGAAAAGGUCUCAAAACACAAGAUUUAUAUGGUAAAUGGCCCCAAAUUGUUUGAAAAUGCUCAUAUAUUCACUCAAAAACACUAAAUCUUCAUAUCAUAUGAUAGAUCUCCUCAUUCUGAACAACUUUGCCUCUGGGACCAAUGUUGUCAAUAAAGCUGUUAAUUAAAUAUUCAAGAUUAUUUUAAAAAGUUACUUUGGCAUACUUGUGAUACGGUUUAAGAUGAAAAUCAAUAAAACCACUGAAGUACAAUUCUGUAGACUCUGAAGGUCAAUAAUUAUCAAAAACAUGUUGAACAAUUGCAUUUGGACAACUAUAAACCAGUAAUUUUAUAAUAUGUUCUUUUCAUAGUGUACACAAAGGCCUAUUAAUACAAACAGAAAGCCCACACAUUAUCAAAACUGUGUAAAACAAUGCAUAAUUUCAUUCUAAACAAGCAUGCAAAAUUUAAGAGAGAUUGGGCAAAAAAAAACACUAUAACAGUUAUGUUUAAAAACAGUGUUGCUUGAGUAAAUGCAAUUUAUAACCUCUAGAUGGCAGUGGAAGACCACUAAUGGGCUCAUUCAGUAAAGUUGAACAGUACUGUUGAAAGGAUUCAUGAAUUCAUCCCAAAACAUUAAAAAUGUAACUGUUAUAACAUUUUAAAUCUCAUUGAGUCAAUGUUUUCCAUUUUGUUCUUACAGAUAUAUCAGUUUUUACUAUUUUGCCACAUUGUGAUUACAGUUUAACCUGAAAAUGACAUCUAAACUCUUAAAAAGAGAAGACUUGCAAUAAGUUUAUUGUCACCUAUCACUUAUUUCAAAUACCUAUAUCUGCAACAAAAUGUUUGUGCAUGUAUAUGUGUGUCUUUCUGUGUGUGUGUGUGUGUGUGUGUGUGUGUGUGUGCAUAUGCUUAUAGAGUAUACAUAUAUUAGUCUAAUCAUUUACUUUCAGUGUGUGUGUCUGUCUGUUAGCCUGUUCUCCAUUUUGGAUGUGUUUAAAUGUCAUCCAUGCAUCCAGGUUGGCUCAGACCACCUCAGAGGCCUUAAUGUGCUUGAACCCCGGUAAAUGCUGCUUGCAGCUUUAAUUAUAAUUACUAUUCUUAUUAUGUUGAAUAAAGCAGAGUAGAAUUUUUUCAGGUUUCUUGAAUAGAAGUUGAAUAGAAGCAUUUAUCUGAAAUAUAAAUACUUUGGAACAUUAUAAAUGUCUUUAUCAUCAGUUUUGCUCAAUUUACAGCAUCCUUUCUAAAAAGUAUUAUGUUUUAUGUAUACGUUUUAUCUUCAACUUCUCAGCUUCAGGUCAUAAAAAUAAAGAAAUGGGACAGUUAAAUCAACUAAACCUGUAAAACACUGUGUUAGGACGAUAAAUAAAUGGUUAAAUCUUGUUUUUAGACAAGACAAUUAAGUUACUUAAAACUGUAAAAUACAGAUUUAAUGCUGAUUGUUUAUUAUUACUUGUUUUAUUGCUGGUUAUUAAUAAAAACAUCAGAUCUUUGUGUUUAA